rnacentral:rRNA from 1 species
UACGGAGGGUCCAAGCGUUAUCCGGAAUCAUUGGGUUUAAAGGGUCCGUAGGCGGGCUAUUAAGUCAGGGGUGAAAGUUUGCAGCUCAACUGUAAAAUUGCCUUUGAUACUGGUUAUCUUGAGUUAUUAUGAAGUAGUUAGAAUAUGUAGUGUAGCGGUGAAAUGCAUAGAUAUUACAUAGAAUACCGAUUGCGAAGGCAGAUCACUAACUAUAUAUUGACGCUCAUGGACGAAAGCGUGGGGAGCGAACGGG